rnacentral:rRNA from 1 species
AUGGUCGAAGGCUCGGAGAUGGACAUCUCUAAUCUUAAGUUCCUUCUCCUCUGCUUCCAACAAAUGUCUGGCCUUAAGAUCAACUUCGACAAGAGUGAUGUGAUGGUGAUGGGCUACUCUCCGCCUGAGUGCCUGGCCAUUGCCAACCGGCUUAACUGCCGCCUGGGCUCCUUCCCCACGACUUACUUGGGAACGCCCAUUAGUGACUCCCGACUCACCGUCGCGGACUUGCGUCCGACCGUGGCCAAGCUACAAACGCGCAUUGAGUCAUGGCAGGGUAGGUGGUUGUUAAAGGCGGCUUGGACGAUUCUCAUCAACUCCUCCCUCUCCAGCCUCCUCUUAUUCCUCAUGAGCUUCUAUAGCCUUCACGAGACUCUGCACCAUGAGAUUGCCAAAGUCCAGUCUCGUUUCUAUUGGGCAGGUGACAACAAUAAGCAGAAAUACCAUAUGGUCAGCUGGCCUGACAUUUGCAAGCCUCGGGAACAAGGAGGCCUCGGUAUCAUGUGCUCUAAGAGCAUGAAUAUUGCCCUCUUAUCCCGUUGGCUCUGGCGCAUCUCGCAAGGUCACGGUGGCCUCUGGCUA